UCCCGAUUCAUUCCUCCACCUUCACCACGGUCUUCUGUCUUCCUCUUCGCCUUCUAUCCCAUUCUCUCACUUCCCUUUCUGUCACCAUAAACCCUUAUCUAUAACCAUAUACCCAAACACCACUCUGUCAUCUUCUUCUUGCUACUCUGAAAAGGUUGUAAUUUGCUGCAUGAAUAGAAACUUACAUAUUGGCCUAAAGAAAACACACAGAAAAUGAUCAAAGGGAAAAGGAAGCAGCUACAACAAGAGACAGAGACAUUGGUCAGGGAGAGAAAGGUUAUUAGGAAUAGAUUUGUCGGAGGCUCACACCACCUUCGGAGGGCAAGCAUUUGCAAGGAAGAUUUGAAUAAAGAGAUGAAGCACUUGGUGUCGGAUCGCAGUUUUACAUUGACAGUGAAGAAGAAGAUGAGGAGGAGGACAGCAAAAACAUAGAAGGUGGGAAUGAUUUUGAUUCUUCAGACUCAGAAGCCUAGCACUAUGGGUAGCAGCAGAUUUAGCAAAGUUAUAGGGAAUGAACGUUGUGAAAGAUUGGCAUACUAUGGGAUGAGCUGAAAUCAGGUAGCGGCCUUAGCAUUUGAUGACAUGGUUUCUUGGAUGCAGGAAGGUGACCAGGUAGGAAUAUUUGAUGCCACAAAUAGUAGAAAGAGACAGAGGAAUAUGGUCAUGAAAAUGGCUGAAGUGCAAUCCUAGCUGACAUGGAUGCUCUAGCUAUACAGGAAAAAAAAAAUUAACAAUCCAGAAUUAGGUAAAAAAAUACACUUGGCUUUUGGUACACUUUGUUCUGUCAUUUUAAUCUCUUGUUUAUCUGUUAAUGAAUAUAAUUAUCUAAGAGGUAUAUCUUCAAUGAUAGUUUUAUGUCAACUUUUAUGUGAACUUAACUUAGUUGCAAACUUAUUAUAGUGUUUCAAACUUUUUAUAGCGUUUACGAAUUGAUUGGGACUGAACCACACACACACACACACACACACACACACACACACACACACAUAUAUAUAUAUGUACAUAAGUAUGAGAUUAAGACAUUGGUGAAUAGCUAUUUGCCUAUCAAAGAUGCUUAUGUUUGACCUGGGAAUGAUCCGCUGGACUAGGAAGCACACUUUCUGCUGGAGAAAUUUCUAAGACAUAGAAGGAAGGUAAUAUCAAAGAUCUUUUAAUUUUGAUAAUCUACUUCAAUUUGUUGCUUCAAAUAUGAGGCUUAAGAUCUGAUUAUCUUUUUCUUGGUUUCUUUUGGCUUAAGAUCUGAUUAUCUUUUUCUUGGUUUCAACUUUUAAGGACACGGUUUGUGUGUCCUUGUAGAGGAAAGAUGACUACCUUUUUUUCAGUUCUAGGACACAAUUUUUUGUGUCCUUUGAGGAAAAAGAGGCCACAUUUUUCUUGAUACGAGAACAUGUUUUUUGUGUCCUCUAAUAGAUGUGGUAAUUUGGUCGAUGUGAAUGUUGAGGACUUUAUCUUGGAUGAGCUCCUAGAGUAUAUCACUGAUAGGUUAGAUGAAAGCUCAAUGCUAGCUAUAAGUUGAGUGACGAGAAUAAAAAGCUCAGAGAGAAGGAAAGGACUUGGUAAUUGAAACAGAAGCAUAUUGAAAGCUAGGAAACCAAAAGCAGACAUAUUCUAACGCUGAACUAGCUUAAAUUCCUCUGUUGUAGUUAGGUAUUUUCAAAUAUGUUUAGAGUUUAGGGAUAUGGGUUUAAUUGAUUGAUGUAAUGAGUUCUACUAAUACAUUUCCAAUUGUUACUUCGUAAAUGGAAUUAAUUAUAAUGAGGGUAAUAUGAGUAUGACAUUUGAGCAAAAA